UACAGAGGGUGCAAGCGUUAAUCGGAAUUACUGGGCGUAAAGCGUGCGUAGACGGUUGCGUAAGUCAGAUGUGAAAGCCCCGGGCUCAACCUGGGAAUUGCAUUUGAGACUGCGUAGCUAGGGUGCGGAAGAGGGAAGCGGAAUUUCCGGUGUAGCGGUGAAAUGCGUAGAUAUCGGAAGGAACACCAGUGGCGAAAGCGGCUUCCUGGUCCAGCACCGACGUUCAGGCACGAAAGCCAGGGUAGCGAACGGG
rnacentral:rRNA from 1 species